CCGGCGAUGUCCGAAUGGGGAAACCCAGUGCAAUUCGUUGCACUAUCGUUAACUGAAUACAUAGGUUAACGAGGCGAACCGGGGGAACUGAAACAUCUAAGUACCCCGAGGAAAAGAAAUCAACCGAGAUUCCCCCAGUAGCGGCGAGCGAACGGGGAGCAGCCCAGAGUCUGAAUCAGCUUGUGUGUUAGUGGAACGGUCUGGAAAGUCCGACGGUACAGGGUGAUAGUCCCGUACACCAAAAUGCACAGGCUGUGAACUCGAAGAGUAGGGCGGGACACGUGGUAUCCUGUCUGAAUAUGGGGGGACCAUCCUCCAAGGCUAAAUACUCCUGACUGACCGAUAGUGAACCAGUACCGUGAGGGAAAGGCGAAAAGAACCCCGGCGAGGGGAGUGAAAAAGAACCUGAAACCGUGUACGUACAAGCAGUGGGAGCACCUUCGGGUGUGACUGCGUACCUUUUGUAUAAUGGGUCAGCGACUUAUAUUCUGUAGCAAGGUUAACCGUAUAGGGGAGCCGCAGGGAAACCGAGUCUUAACUGGGCGUUAAGUUGCAGGGUAUAGACCCGAAACCCGGUGAUCUAGCCAUGGGCAGGUUGAAGGUUGGGUAACACUAACUGGAGGACCGAACCGACUAAUGUUGAAAAAUUAGCGGAUGACUUGUGGCUGGGGGUGAAAGGCCAAUCAAACCGGGAGAUAGCUGGUUCUCCCCGAAAGCUAUUUAGGUAGCGCCUCGUGAACUCAUCUUCGGGGGUAGAGCACUGUUUCGGCUAGGGGGUCAUCCCGACUUACCAACCCGAUGCAAACUACGAAUACCGAAGAAUGUUAUCACGGGAGACACACGGCGGGUGCUAACGUCCGUCGUGAAGAGGGAAACAACCCAGACCGCCAGCUAAGGUCCCAAAGUCAUGGUUAAGUGGGAAACGAUGUGGGAAGGCACAGACAGCCAGGAUGUUGGCUUAGAAGCAGCCAUCAUUUAAAGAAAGCGUAAUAGCUCACUGGUCGAGUCGGCCUGCGCGGAAGAUGUAACGGGGCUAAACCAUGCACCGAAGCUGCGGCAGCGACACUAUGUGUUGUUGGGUAGGGGAGCGUUCUGUAAGCCUGCGAAGGUG
rnacentral:rRNA from 1 species